GCCAAGGUCGAGGCCGCGCGAUUCUGCCGCGCGCCGCCGCGUCGGCAAGUCUCUUGCGUGCCCUCUUUCUCGAAACUAUUUCUAUGAAGGGGUAAUGCGCAUUAUACGCCGCGAGUGAACCCUCAACGCCACCCUGCGACUGCUAUGAAGGUGACGCGAAACAGCAUUGUGCAAAGUUGCGAUCGUACCGCGACGUGUCGGAAUUCCACCGGUGAACACCAUGUGCAUUUCUCUGGCGCACGAGACCCGUCACCCGGUUCCAGUUAUGCAAUACCUGACGUGAAAAUUACUGGAACUGCUUCUCUAAAUUACUGCUGAAUCAAAUUGGACAAGAAAAUAGAGGCAGCGAAGAAAUGAAAACUAAUUAUAACUGCGACUGAGGAAAAUUCGUUGAUUGCAUUUAUCUUAUAAAAAUAGCGAUCGGAAUUAAAAAUAAAUAAUCUAUUAGCAGUCUACUAAAAUCUUA